rnacentral:lncRNA from 1 species
AAUAUAUUAUUCAUAAUUUUUUAUUAUUAUUAUUAUUAUUAUAAUAUAGAUAUAUAGAAGAAUGUUAAAUAGACUUAUUUUUUUACCAAAUCGAUCCAUCCUAUUUUAACCAUCAUUAGAAUCAUGGCCAUCAUCUCCACCCUCUUAUUUCCAAUGUUUGCUCUUUCCAUUUCUAACCCCUCCUCCCUUCUCUCAUCCCUCCCUCUCGCUUCUCCUUAGUAAUUGAACUUGGACAAAAUGACUCUACAUUAAAGUUUUAAAUCUGUAACUUGUAUUUGUGUUUUUGAGUAUGAAGAACAUAGAAGGAAUCAAGUUUAGCAAAAUAGAG